rnacentral:lncRNA from 1 species
AGACUGAGGCUCGUGCAUGAGGGGAUAGCAUGCUUUUACUUUCACUCUCUUUGUAUUAAAAAACUAUUUCCCGGUCGGAAUAUUAUCGCUUUUUUACGAGAAAAAUGGCAUGAAAAUUUAUUUAAACAGCGGUUGACAUGCUUCGAAGUAGGGUAAUGGAAUAUUUCGAUUUUUUUUGUCACGAAACGCGUCGUGCUCGUCACCCUUAUUUACCCUUUCGGAUAGUGUCUUGAACGCACGAACAAAACGCCGCUAUUUGGAUAUAACAAUGGAUUAUUUGGGACCAAACCAACAUUUCUUAUUGAAGUAGAAGUCCUGGGAGUGCAUUCUGACGAAGAACAGCAAAGUGUUCUUCUGGAGAGGGGUGCCUCGGACGACUUCUGGCAGAGAGAAAUGCUUGCAGUCUGGCCAAUGAGAUCGGGGGAAGUUCCCCAGUACCACCAUCUUUUCUCACUGGAGAAUGAUGACGGCAAGACUCCAAGGCAUAGCGAUUGGUCUCCUCUACUGUGUCUCCCACCAGCUCCUCUGUCAGAAACAACUUGAAGCUGCCUCAGUUGAAAAUGGCAAGGGGUGUUGCACUCCAGACUGG